AGACUCUAUGGUUUCUCUUCAGAUCGUAUAAAUCUUUCACCUUUUACUAAAGAUUUCCGUGGAGAGGAACAGUAUUGAGUUUUAACUCAAUA
rnacentral:snRNA from 1 species